AGUAAUUGAACUUUGCAUUAUGUAUGUUUCACUUACUAUACUUUAAUUUGCAUCCCAUCAUUCACUGAACUUUACAAAAUUGCACUCCAUCACUAACCCACUAACUUUUGUCUUCACAGUCCGCCUACGUGGAAGACGACAGUCAUAUGUGGCCAUUAAAUAAUCCAAACUGGAGAAGGAAUUGUUAGGUCAAAUGAACCAAGCACCCCUUACCUUAUUUCAUCACGGAAAUUGCGAUUUGGGAACCCUAAUUUAUCAUAAACGCUCGAUUUAUCUUGGCAUCGAAGUGAAAUUCCUCAAACAUCUCCGUCAAAAGCGUGAACCCUACUCCCCAAAAUCAUAAUUAUUCCAAAAUUGAAUACGAGUCAAGGGCAAUUGUUGAUUGGCUCGGAGAGAACACCCAAAGGUAAUUGAGAAAAAUUUUCCCUUUUCAUAAUUUAAUAUCAUUGAAUUUGUAGUGCGAACUAGUUUUGUGAUCGAGUUGAGUUGUUAAUGGAAUCAAAUAACAUAAUGAAAUGCGAACAACGUUAUUAUCCAUGGCUCUGGUUUUCCAUUUCAUUUGUUUUUAUCUCUUAAGCUUUGUUCUUUGAUUUUUGGAGUUCACUAGUGCAGUUCUUCGAUGUGGGUAUGCCCAAAAAAGCUUAUUUCUUUGUCCAUGGCUCCUGUUUUCCAUUUCGUUAGUCCUUUGUGUUUUUACAUCAUAGGGCAACUCUGUAGAUAGCUCCGGUUUAGUUUUUACCACGUCAUAAGUAAUUAAUUGAUGCAUUGCAUUUUAUUUUUCGUAGGAAAAAACAAGGGGAUUUGCCACUGUUACAGAGAACCAAGCCACCAAUUAUGGGUAUGCCUAAAAAAACAGCAAUGUCCAAAUUGUGCCGGAGCAAUCAUAAAAUGGAUGUCAAAGAAGAACGAAAGGGCUUUUCAAUUGAAGAUUUGUCCAGUUUGUUAAAGAUUGCCGCUGAAAUUAUCGAACAACAAGAUGUCACCAUUAAACUAAGCUUCCACAAGGGUAAAGGAGACACGGAAGUCAGAAGGAAACGAAGGCCAAGAGAGUCGUGAACAUAUUCCAUAUAUGAAGGCGACGAGACGAGAAGAACUAACUUUUAAUUUCAUAUUUUUUUAAUAACUAGACUAUUCAUGCUUCCAAUUUCAUGUUUAUUGUUUUCGUUUAAGUGGAAACUAUGCUGUACUUGAUAUUUGAUUUCGUGAAGUUGUGAUUUCUAAAGAACAAUCUCCGUUUGCCUAUGUUUGAUUUGAACUAGUUGUGUAUCAAAACUUUUCUAAUGACCUUCUUCUAAUGAUUUAAACAAUCUCCAUUUGCCUCCAUUGUGAUGUUCAUGUUGCCUUCAAUCCCAGCAGC
rnacentral:lncRNA from 1 species